CACCCGAAGGCGCUGCGCUAACCCGCAAGGGAGGCAGGCGACCACGGUGGGAUCAGCGACUGGGGUGAAGUCGUAACAAGGUAGCCGUAGGGGAACCUGCGGCUGGAUCACCUCCUUUCUAAGGAUUUGAGCGUACUGCGCCGAGCUUGUCUCGGAAGUGCGUCGCUCGUUCCAAAGAACAUGCCGCCGUCCUCAUGUCCCUUCAUCACUGGAAACACUGCCCUCGGGCAGUGAACGCCUGAGCUGGCUCACGCCGCCCGCGGCCCUUGUGGCUAGUUCGGGCGGGUUGCCAUCAAAGUAUUACUUUGAUGGGACCUGAUGGUGGGGGCCGGUAGCUCAGGUGGUUAGAGCGCACGCCUGAUAAGCGUGAGGUCGUAGGUUCAACUCCUACUCGGCCCACCAUAUUAGCUAAGCCGCUCGGCGGCACGCCUAACGCGUGCCGGCGUUGGCUGGCGCCUUUCGGGGCCUUAGCUCAGUUGGGAGAGCGCUAGCUUUGCAAGCUUGAGGUCAUCGGUUCGAUCCCGAUAGGCUCCACCAAGACAUUCCAGGGAUGAAGAUCACCAGUUUCGCGGCCUCGGCUGGGAUAUGGGGCGUUUUUGCGCCCCUCUUUGACAUUGUAAAUGGGUUCUAGAAAUCGAUGCCGUGAACGGCGUCGUGGCUAGAUCAAACGACAGCUUGCUUCGGCAGGUUGGCGGGAGAUUUGAUCACGAUGACGAUUACAACAUAAUGAUUAUCUAGCUGAGUAGGUUCGACCACUCUUCAACGUGGUCGAUCCGAAACAAAUCUCACCCCAAUAGUCGGCGCCUGUCAUGCAAGCAGGAUUGUCGAUGGUGGUGUGGAUUCUCAAGCGUGAGGUAAGGGCAAUUCGUGGAUGCCUUGGCAUACACAGGCGAUGAAGGACGUGGCACGCUGCGAUAAGCUGUGGUGAG
rnacentral:misc_RNA from 1 species